rnacentral:lncRNA from 1 species
GAUCUGUCCGACCACCUCCUCUCCACACUGUCUCACCAGGGAUGUUGAUGAGAAGAAAAACGUGGAUGUGAGCCUAGGUGCCUCCGACUCUCUGAACCUUUUGUCCAAACUGGCAUCUCUCUGUGAAGAGGCUCUCUGGGACCUGCAUGUCUGCACCAGAACGAGCACCAGACUGGUAGACUGCUCACUCAUCUGCUGUAGCAAGCUGAAGAGACUUGAGCUUUCUGGUGGUUGGUUUGUUUGCCUGGUGAGGAUGGGUUCUGUGAGGGGCCCUUUGCCAGCGUGUACAUCAAGAGAGCUUUGCUUUCCAGCCACCCUGGGGAUGGCCGGCUUCUGGUGAGUUCAGCAUGAGUCAUCUGCCUCCCCUGGAGUGUUUAUGGCAAGUCACGAGUGCUGUGUCUGCUGAGGCCAUCUGGGAAAGGAGGAUGUACUUGGGAGCUGUCUGUUUGUCCUCUGAACCUGGAGGGGACUUCAUCAAGUGGAGAGUCACUCUUUUCCUAGGAGGGAACAUGGAGGCAGUUCUCCUCCUCCUCCAUACAGUUCACUGAUGAGCAAUUUUCUAAGCAGAACCCCUGGAGACCAGCAUCUGCUCUGGCCCCUUCCCAAGCUGAGGUGGAAGACCCCACACUGGGAGGAUGACACCGGGGAGGCAUUGACCUUUCCUUUGAUGACAUCCCUGGGCCUUGAGCUAAUUGUGAAGGAGACUUCACAACUGAGUUAUCAUUCUGUCACUCAGCUGCUCCCACAGCUGCUCGUUCUUGAGAGAGGCCAAGAGCAGCCAAAUCCUCCCUUCCCAUACAACCAUGCUAAGAUCCACCCACCCCUGCCUUCAUGAUUGC